rnacentral:lncRNA from 1 species
CUGAGCCUGUGGAUCCCCCACCAGUUCGCCCAGAUAGUGGGCUGCUCUUCUUUUCAUCCUCAGAGUCCGAAUUCUGGUGGUGAAUCCAGCUCUUAUCACUCUUCAGGGUGGUGCGAACCUUCAUCUGCUUAAUGAUCCUCCUGCGGUCUUCAUCUGUGGGUGUAAUCACACGAUCUUUGCUGACACCCAGGGACAUCAUGGUUCUCA